GAGGGCCGACAGGACCGCUGUUGCUGCUGCAAGGAGCUUGGCACAGAAGAACAUCCCUGGAGCAGCCAUGGCUCUUCCACACAGAUGACCACUAUCAGUACAAGCCCUUCCCAUGGCAGCACCCCAUGUCCAGCAGUGAAAUCUCUGUGUCUGGAGGCAGAAAAAGUCAGGUUAUGUAUUUAUGUAUCCAGGCACUGAGUUCUGAACAAUAAAGCUGUGGCUUGGGUAGAUUUUUUGUCACUUUCUGUUUCCUGGUGAGCACAGAAUGAACAGGCAUUGGUAAGUGCCAAAGAUUUUCUGACUGCAGUGAAGAACCCAGGUCCCACUGGGUACCACCAUCACCUCUCUCCUGCUUCAGACUUGAAGGGGAGCUCUGCUCUGUGUCUGGCAAGCACCAAGUGCAUCUGAUGGAGGUGGCAGAAAAUAUGGCAGUAUGGAGGUGGCAGAAAAUAGCAGCGCUGAUUUGCUUUUGUGACACAUCAAGGCAGUGUGUGAUACAGGCACUUUGGCACACAACAGUGGGUUUCUCAUGUCUGUUCGUAACGUGCUUCGUUCCCUUGUUGCUUUGGCUUCUCUGCCUUGGUUAUACCGUGAGCUCCUCAGGUUCACUGAGGCUCUUCAGAGGCCAUGCAGGGGCUUUACAGCUCUUGACUGUGAAUAACCACUCCUGAAACAUGAAUAACCACUCCUGAAGCUGGUACCAUCAGCUUGCCCUCAGACAAGAUAUCACAAUUCAUAAAAGGACUAGAAGCACGAAUCACAAAAUGAUUCCAUUACCUGUCAGCACUAUAAAUGCCUGCAGUUAGCAGAGGCCUGUGCUGGGUAUGGUUCUUUGGUGAAGGUGACCAUAAACACCUCUCAGGGAAGCGGGGGAUGUGCACUGUAUUUGCCCAUGGAGCUACCAAGAAAUGGAGCAAUUAAUAAAGGACACUUGUAACAUUUUUGUUGAAAAAAGGACAUUCUGUAAAUCCUAGUCCAUAACCCUUUCCAAAAAGUAAUGCAAACUGUCACAGGUGCAGGAGGGGAAAGAAGCAGCACCGGCUUUCAGUAUUGCUGUGAUGUAGUCAGUCCUCAGGGAGUGUUUUACAAGCCAAAAUUUCUACUCAGUUGAUGCUAAGGAAGGGUCCAUCAUGGGAUUUUCCUCCUUUCCAUUAGUAUUUUAAUUAGACUUUCAUAUUAUCUUGGGACUUGGGGCUUGCGAGGAGUACCCUGUGAAGGAAAAAAAAAAAUUAUACCUGUAUCUCCCUCUAUAUUUUCUUUGUGUGAAACAAGCAGAAAUUUGAGAGCCCAGGUAGGCAGCGGGCACCUCGACUCAGUGGGAACACUGCAGCCUGCGAGCUGCAUCUUGUGCUCAUAAAUCAGCCCAAUUAUCCUAACGAGGAGAGCUGGGUCCCUCUUCUUUGAGCCCUGCUGGUUUACAGAGAGAGGAGAGCAAAUAAUAGAGAACAGUGGCAGCUUCUGGGUUGGGGGUGGGCAAAGGGAUGGAGGACAAUGGGCGAUGCUUCUCACCACUGCCACUUCAGGAGGGCAGCAGGGCAGUUCUGCAUUAUCCCUGGCUGUUUUUCCAGAUCAGAACUGAAAGCGGUUUCUUUUCUUGCUCUGUACUAGUUUAAGUUUUCUUGUAAUGGUGAAAAUUAGAAACUUGUUUUUCUGCAAUGACAACGCAGGUUCUUAUUUACUCCAUGAAUCUGGGAGCUGAAACUCCAAGAAAACCACAAACUACCAUGAGAUUUAUUAAUGAAAGAUGAGAGCCAAAAUUAUGAGUGGCCCCAUUCAUUGUUUUCUAUGUUUUCAUCCUGGUCCCUCCUAUUCUCCCCUCUUGGCGAUGUCUGAAACAAAUCAUUCAGGUCUAGAUCUCUUAUUACGACACUCACAGAGCCUCCUUGCUAUUGUUUUGGCCAAAUUAAAAACAUUUGUCAGGAGUAAUUGUUGAAUGGCAUAAAAAUUCAUCUCUAUUUUGCUGAUGAGGACUUAAUUACUUCCAUUCUAUUGUGAUAAGUUAUGUACUCAGUUCAGAUAUUUUUUAAUACAAAACAUUUUUUAAAAUGGCCAGUUCUGGCCGUUCUUGUGACAUCCUCCUCUCAGGAAAAUUCUUCUUCUUAAUCUCUCGGUAUGUUCUCAACAGCUUAUCCCUCUUUUCUAAUGUCAGUUUUCCUAAAAUGCCUUCUUAUUCCUGCCUCACACACAGCUAAGUUGUGUCCAUAUUUUCAGCUUUUCAGGCUCCAAAGAAAGCUCUAUAAUUAGUAGAUAAACCUUCUCUUUGGUCAUCAAUCCGCUCUGUGUUUCCUGUGUUGAUUUCAGUGAGUUAAAUGCAUUGAGAUGUUUGGAGAUGUCCCCACCCCAUCUUCAGCCUGAAGCACCACUGAGACCCACAGCUGCUGCAGAACACAAUGAAGCUGCCAGAGGCACUAAUGGGAGGAGCUGAAGGGUUUGUAGAUAGAAAGUAAGGGGUGUGCUGUAGUGCCUACAACCAUGGAGUGCAAGAGUACCCUUCUUAAAGCCAACAGAAUGGCAUCUUUUUUGAUGGAAAUAUAACAGUGGGACUUCAGAGCACGACCAGCACUCAGCAUUCAAAACAGCAUGCAUCAGGCCAGACACAAACUGUAAGACUAUUUUAAGUCAUUAAAAAGAUCCAGAAUUAG